rnacentral:rRNA from 1 species
AGUGAACGCUGGCGGUAGGCCUAACACAUGCAAGUCGAACGGCAGCACAGGGGAGCUUGCUCCCUGGGUGGCGAGUGGCGGACGGGUGAGGAAUACAUCGGAAUCUACUCUGUCGUGGGGGAUAACGUAGGGAAACUUACGCUAAUACCGCAUACGACCUACGGGUGAAAGUGGGGGACCGCAAGGCCUCACGCGAUUGAAUGAGCCGGUGUCGGAUUAGCUAGUUGGCGGGGUAAAGGCCCACCAAGGCGACGAUCCGUAGCUGGUCUGAGAGGAUGAUCAGCCACACUGGAACUGAGACACGGUCCAGACUCCUACGGGAGGCAGCAGUGGGGAAUAUUGGACAAUGGGCGCAAGCCUGAUCCAGCCAUACCGCGUGGGUGAAGAAGGCCUUCGGGUUGUAAAGCCCUUUUGUUGGGAAAGAAAUCCUGUUGGUUAAUACCCGGCAGGGAUGACGGUACCCAAAGAAUAAGCACCGGCUAACUUCGUGCCAGCCGCCGCAGUAA